rnacentral:lncRNA from 1 species
GUGAGGAGCAUCUCUGCCCGGCUGCCCCGUCUGAGAAGUGAGGAGACCCUCCGCCUGGCAACCGCCCCGUUUGAGAAAUGGGACCAUGUAGAUACAGGAAAACAAGCUCAGGGCUCCAACUGAUUCUACAUCAUGAUAUCCUUUCAGGUCCUGCACACCAGUGAAACUAAUGAGGUCAGCUGAUCUGAAGGACCCCAUCGACAUCAGCAGUUCUGAAGGAUCAUACAAGGAGCUGACUCACUGAAUGCAGUUUCCACAUCCUGACGACUUCAUCCCUUUGACCCCAACCACUCAAUGACCCCAAUUUUCCAGUCCCUCAUUCUCCACAAUCCCCUUAAAAACCCCAGCCCAGAACUCCUCAGGGAGAUGGACUUGAAGAUCUCCUCUCAUCUCCUUGCUCAGCCGCCCUGCAAUCAUUAAACUCUUUCUCUGCUGCAAACCCUACUGUCUCAGUGUAUUGGUAUGUUGCUGUGCAGUGGGCAUACAAAC